AUUGAACGCUGGCGGCAGGCUUAACACAUGCAAGUCGAGCGGGGAAAGGUAGCUUGCUACCUGACCUAGCGGCGGACGGGUGAGUAAUGCUUAGGAAUCUUCCUAUUAGUGGGGGACAACAUCUCGAAAGGUAUGCUAAUACCGCAUACGUCCUACGGGAGAAAGCAGGGGACCUUCGGGCCUUGCGCUAAUAGAUGAGCCUACGUCGGAUUAGCUAGUUGGUGGGGUAAAGGCCUACCAAGGCGACGAUCUGUAGCGGGUCUGAGAGGAUGAUCGGCCACACUGGGGCUGAGACACGGCCCAGACUCCUACGGGAGGCAGCAGUGGGGAAUGUUGGACAAUGGGGGGAACCAUGAUACAGCCAUGCCGCGUGUGUGAAGAAGGCCUUUUGGUUGUAAAGCACUUUAAGCGAGGAGGAGGCUACCGAGAUUAAUACUCUUGGAUAGUGGACGUUACUCGCAUAAUAAGCACCGGCUAACUCUGUG
rnacentral:rRNA from 1 species